AUAGUUGCAUCAGUGUGUGCCUUAGACGGUCAGUAUCAUGAGGCCAUUGGACACAGGGUGAAAGGCCUCAACACAUAUGGAGAAUGACUUGCAGUGACCCCGCGUCUCUGUGAAGGCCAUGCUCAGGCACCUUCCUUUCAGCUCUUGUGCAGCUCCAGCAGAAAGUGGAAUACCGGCACUCUGGGGGAACUGGAUUGUGCUGUAUUAUAGUGCCAGAAUAGCAGAGCGAUGCCACUCUGGAUUUCCUGAAAUGAGACGGUGCUUGUUGUGAUCAACAGUGAGAAGGAGAGACUGCAGCUGUUCAGAAACAAUGGAGAAAGAGCAGAAGGGAGAUGAGGAGCUAAACUGGAAUAUGACAUCGGAGUUGCCUCUGUGUCUCUUACUGCUGCUUCAUGUCAGGAUCUGGUUUGUGCUAGGGGAAAAGCUGGCAAUACAGACCAAUGUAAGUAUGUAGUCAGUCCCCAAGCAGGACUUGGGAGGUGAGCAAACCCUUCUGGCAGGCUGUUCAGCUCAACCAUCACUGCGAGGCAACUCUGGCCAGUGUAUGAAUUCAAGUGAGGCAGAGGUGGCAUCCUUGCUGCUUGCAACAAUUCCCUGUAAAGGACCAUGAAAGAUCGUUGCAGUUUCGGGGCAGAUCUGUGCAGUGUUACUCUCCAGGUGGUGGUGGAAUAUGGUGUGUUUAAUUUUGUGAGUAUGGUUUCCUUACAUACAGUGGCAUGUGUGACAGCUGUCUGUUGACCUGAACUUACCAGUACCUGUCUUUCAGAAGAGUAGUCCUCAAAUCCUGUUGGCAACUUCAGUUAUUGCUGCCAGCCCUUUGGAUAGCCCCCGAGUUUGCCCCUUGCAAGGUAAAGCCCAUGACCUCCAGAUUGGUGAGGAUCAUGGCUGCUCCCAUGGAACUUUCUGGUUUCCUUCAGGCUGGUAAGAUCAAGUGAAGUGCAGCCCUACCAUUUCUACUGCAGCUCCCCUUAGGAGUAGAAGGCAAAGGGGGCAGGCUGUGGUGAAGAGGAGGCUAAGCACGGAUGGGAGGUUCUGUACAUGCAGGCUCCCUUUUACAAGGCAUUCAUGCAGUAAGACUGCUGAAGAUGAGUGGUGUGGGCUCUGCCCAGGAAAUGUUUCUGUGGCUCUUUGCUUUAGGAGAUGAGGCUGGCUUGCUGCGUCUCCCAGGUAGGCGCUUUGACAGGAGAGUUGUUUCCCAGCCUAUAGGGCUGGUUUUCUUGGGCACAGAGAGAUGGAGACAGAGGCAGAUGAAGUGGCUUGCCUGGAGCCACAGAGCAAAUCUGGGGUGGCAGCAGGCAUGGAGUAUCAGUCUCCACCCAGCUGGUCCUGUGUUCUCAUGGCACAAAACCUCUCUUCUCCUAGCCAUGCUAAUUGCUGCCCUGUGGGCUAAACAUCCAUUGCUGAAAUCCCUGCGGGUCUGGUUUCCCCUUGCUGUCCACAUGCAUGAAGCAUUUUGGCAAGGAGGAAUGUUUAACUGGACAACGUAUCCGCUCGCUCAAACAGCUUAAUACUAAACAUGCUCUGCUGGCAGCUUUUAGGAGACAGGGAGGCAGUGAAGUAAAACAACUUUGAUACCCAAUAAACCUUUUCCCUGUGUGCUCAGAUCUGGGUUGCGAUACCACUGGGUCACAAGCGGUUACCUCAUGCCAGUGUUUCCUGGCAUAACUCUGAGUACAAACACCCGCUCACAUCCUCCCCAUCCUCUUUGAUUUGUGCCCCCUGCACUGUAUUAUAUUACAGUGUAGGGGACGUCCUGACAAGUAAGUACUAAAUGAAGACCUCAGCCAGCACAGGGGAGCUGGCUGAGCAUCUCUACCUCUUGCUCAGUGCCUCCAAUCUUUCUGGUUUCCAGUAGGACACACAGGGCUUUCCCAGCACAUCCCAUUAGGUGGCAAUGCAGUUUCUUCCUCCAUGUGACACUGGAUGAUAAAGGCAGCUGACAUGGGCCCCUCAGCGUGACUGGGGUGAUUUGAGCUUCAGCCUGAGGUCUGCAGAUUGCUGUGGGAUAGGGUGGCGCAGCCAAGUCUCUGAGCACGUAGGAAGGGCACUCUAAGUCUGGUGUCUGCUGUGAUUUUUUUCUGUCAACACCAGGAACAGCCCUGGGAUUUCCCAUCCUCCUGGCUUUCAGGUGCCUUAAAUCACCUGGUGGCUGUGGUGAUCCUAGGGCCAGCCCUGUUGCUUGCUUGGGGUACAUAGGUUCUCUUUCAAAGUGCCAGCACUGCUUUUCCAGCUUUUGGAGCUCAGACUUGCUCUUCCUUCCCAUUACUCAGAAUGAUCAUUUCCUUAUUGCUGUGGUGUCAUCCUUCAAACUACUUUGCCUUCUCUAGGCAGAUCCAUGGCUCAGAGGACCAUGAGGGCUUCAUGGGGGUGCUGGCUCCUAGAUGUCACCCUUUUUCCCUCAGGGACAUCACCUGUGGGCUGCUAAGAACACAGUGAGAAAAGUUUCCCCUGUGCCUCCAGCUCCUUGUGGACUUGGCCACUGUAUCCACAAGCCUGGUGUUUCCUAUCACCUUAUUCUGUGUGAUCUCUAAGCAGGGUAACAGGAGAGAGUACCCAGCUGUGUGGGAUUGGGACAAAUAGGGGCACAGAGCAUCUGCCACAGAGCCAGCAGGGCUUUCCUUGUUCAUUCAUUCACCAGCCUGCAGUCAUUGGCCUUCCUCACAAACUCUGUCCCAGCUCAAGCUUCAAAUGGGUCAAGGCUUCUGCUCUCUACCCUUCUCAGAAGCCUUUUCCAGGCCUGCAGAGGAUGGAGGGAGACACCUGCAAUGCCUCAGACAGGGUGUUCAAGCUCCUGCUCAAGAAACUGCCAGAUGGGGAGUGUUCCCCACUCUGCGUUGGGCGUUGCUGACUGCUGUGGCGCCUCCAGGCCCAAACACCCUCCGACCUGCUCGGCACGCAGCUCUUCGCUCCCCAUACCAUGAGGUGAACAGCCUCCUUUCAGGCUUCAGAGAUAAGGCAAGAGCUCAAUUAAUGAGCAUCUCAGUGGAAAGAUGACCUCAGUGGAAAGAAGAUUGCCCUGUGCCGUUUCUGCUCUGGACGUUUCCCAGCAGGGUCCAACCCAAAGGUCUUCCCUUCCCAGCAGGACGUCUUGGAAGCCAUCUAGUUGGAGAGUUGCAGUGAGUGCUGCAGUAAAGGGAAGGACCAAAACAGACCAGGACUUCCAGCCAUACCUGAUGGCAGCAACGAAAGAGAAUAGGACACAGUGAGGCUGGAGCUGGGUGGGGGUCUGCUUGUGUCUGACCCAAUGCUUGGAUCUAACACUAGCUACAACUUCUUGCAAGGCAGGUACAGAGAGAACAGAGCCAAACUCUUCUUGGUCAUGGGAGAUGGUAUAACAAGGGACAACAACCCUGGGAUGGAGAUUUGAGGGUUCAGGCUGGAUGCUAGGAAAAUCUUGAGGAGUGGCUGCAAAGGAGUGAAUACUGGCUCCCAUCUUUGUGAUAGGAGCGCCAGUUACCACUGUCACUAGCAAAGGAGUUUUUUGAGUUGGCCAGGCUGGCGUUGGCUAGUACCAGAAACCUCAGUGGAAGCUGCAAGAAAUCCUGCAGCCUGCUUCUAUCCUAUUCCCAGAAACUGUGGUCUAACCUUGUGGAAGUCUUCUCCAGUGUGGUACUUUACAGGCAAAACAGACAGAGUGAUUUUGGUGUUUGCACAUUGUUCAGUUGGCAGACUUUUCCCAUUUGCAUUUAGUUUAUUUUUUGUACGAUUAACAGAAAUACGCAGGGUCAGCACAGCAGUUGUCUGAUCUGACAAGUUCCUGCCCUUGGCCACAUCACGUGACACUGAGUUCCCCAAGGCAAAUUGUGUGAAAAGAUGUCUUUUUUUAAUCACUUCUGAAUUUACUGUCUCUUCGUUUUUGCUGAAUGCCCUGUUGUUUGCAGAGUGUGAAUACAAGCUCUGUCCAUGGAAUCAGGAUGGCCCCAAAUGCUGGGCACCAGAGGACCUCAAAGACUCCUUUUCUUGAAUGCACUGAUUUUCAGAAGAGCCCUCCAAGGCAGGGUAAUUACUCUGGCUUUGUGCAACAACCUCGAUCCGGGACGUGGCCCAAGAGGAAGAUGGAGACAGAGGCACAGAGAGAUGCACUUGUGUGGGGGGGACCUGUCAGCUCUGGCAGGAAGUAGCUCUGAACCCUUCUCUGUGUUGCUGAACUUACAUAGCAGUGACCACAUCCUUCAUCUUCCCUACCGUGAUAGCAGGUUCUGUGAAAGCAGCCCUGCAUGCCUGGAAACUAGUGGCAAAGCAGGGGCUGGAGAUGAAAUUGCCGGUAUUAAGCUCACUCCCUCCUCAGCCCUUUCUUACUCUCUAUCCCAUUUGCUUUUUAUCAUGCUUAUAUGUUUUCACCAUUUUGGAGGCCUGAGAGCUCAUUGCUUAGACUCCUGUAUCUUGCUGUGUUAGAGACCCCAGUUUAUCCCAAGGCUGUGGGCUAGCAUGACUGUGCUGCCUGGGCGUGUGAGCACAUCAGCCCAUGUGCACCCCAAUAGGACUUAUUGAUGUGUGGUACUGCAGUGUGGAUGUUCUCUGGGGCCCAAAGCUUGCUGAAAACUCAUCCUAACACAUUCUCUGACUAGCCCACAGAAGCAUGACCACCUUUUUCUUGCAAAGGUGGGCAAAGAGUGGUACACAGAUUUAGAGCAGAAUUUAUCUUUUGGGAAGGUGGGGGAAGUUUUCUCUCCUGUUUUUCUCUGUUCCUCAACAGCUGGGGUUUUCACAGAACAAAAUCCCCUUGUAAGAAACCAGUUUUCUCAGUGUGUCAGAGCUGGUGUCUUUAAUCCCCUCCCAGCCUCCGCCUAUUUGUGGCCUGUGGUCUCCUUUCCUUUUGGUGCAUCCUUAGGAACCAUGGAGCUGGUCUCUGCUGGGAAGAUGCUUGCUUUGACUGAGGUGCUUCAUCCUGCUCCAGUGAGGCUCUUGCUAGCACCUGCUUCCUUUGACUUAAAACAAGAUGUUCUCUGACACCUUUCCCAGGUGUUUAGCAAAGACUGAGUCAUACAGAGGCUGUUGAUUCCCAGGGAGCCAUGCUGACACCUGUGCUUCUCUCCCAGGGACACCUGCAAGCUCUGCACCGGUCAGAAAGGGCUGGUAGGAGAAACAGGGUUGUUCAACAGAGGGCUUCCAAGGCAGUCAGAAAGCUUGUCAGGAGGAAAUCCCUUCAAGAGCCUUUGCUAACUCUCCUGAGCAGAAAUUAAAACGUGCCUUGUAUGAAAAUAGUAAUUGAGCAGAGAAAAAAACACAGGUUUGCUUUCUUUUCUACACUGCCCUGUCAUCCUCCACCACUGCCUUCUGCAUGCUGCGCUCCCUUCUCCCAUCUUGGGCAUGGCUGAGUGAGGGAGACUGUACUUUUAGUGUCCUCCAUCUGACCAGUCAGCAUUCCCUCCCCAUCCCCCUGCAGAGAGCAUCUGGCAGAGAUGUUAAAGAAAGACAGAUCUGACCAGCACCUUUGUGGUAUCUGGGGAAGGGCUGGAGUCAGGAUCUUACUCUAAUCCUGGAGUCCUACCUGGGACAUCCUUCAGAUGGACCAGACUCAAACCUCCACAUGGGCUUCCUGGAUUUGGGAGCAUAGGAACAAAGGGUGACUAAUCAAAGGAACAAUGUAUUGCUGAUGAAUUUUCCAUCUCUUGGAAUUUAAUGGAUGCCUGGGUAUCGGGAAGAGAAAUGCUCCAGCUAAGCUGUGAGGGGUGGAUUAGCAGCAGGGAGGCCAGGGUGAGUCUGGGGUUAGGAAGCUAUAGAGUCAGGAAUGGGGCGUGUGUGGCUCCCACCUUGCCCAGGGACUGGGAGACAAGCCAGGCCAUCAUGAGGGGGUGCAAAAGGAGCAGAGGGUGAGCCCCAUUCACCCCUCUGUGGCCUGGCAGUGAUACCCAGGGAGCAGGAGUAGAGAUGCCCUCCUCCCCCCACCCCCCAGUGCAGCUGGGACAUGCUCCACAAAGACAGCAUCCUUCAUGGUGAUCUGGGGCCCAAUUCUGCGUUCUGUGUCACUGUCAGCUGCAGGGACUUUAAAGUGUUCCCUAAGUGUCACUAGAGGUCACUGCCGCACUGGCUGGGCUCUGGAGCCCGUUCCUCACCUGGAGACUCUACCCAGGUUGACAAGGAGCAAUGGCAGAGAGCCAUCAAGGAGCUUUUGCAGCUGCCCUUGGAGCAGCCCUUCUAGGGCGCUAGACAGAGCUGAGGUUACACUGCAUAUCCUGACCACAGCAGGAGAAGAUGCUUAUUGGGACUGGGGAUGGCAUAGCGAGGAUUUUAUUUCAGACCCACCAUCAAUCCUCAGGUGCUAAACCUGCCUUAGUUUGGGAGGCGAAAAGACAGAGCAGCUAGAUUCUUUAAGACAUAGCUGUAGCAAAAUCUACCUCCACCAGCAAGCGCCUGCCCCCUUCACCAAGAUCAUGGGACUUUUGCUGGCUCCUGCUGGAACUGAACCCAGCUCCUCCCAGGCCACCACACAGCCUCUUCCCUCCCCAGGGCACAGGCUGAACCCUGGGGUCAGGGGAGCUGGCUGUCUCUGGCAGGGGCUGGUCCUCAUCCCAAAGCAACCUGGUGCUGCCACAUGGUACUGGGCAGGAUGAAAUCCCUACCCUAGAUCCUAGUUUUGCACCUGGCCCUUUGGUACAAAACAAAGUGCACUCCCCCCCCCCCCCCCCCCCCGACCUUUGGGAAGGUCAGUCCCUGCCAGCUCAGGGAAGCCAUGUUCAUAGCCACAGUCAGUGAUGAGCUGUCCAAAAUCUUUGUGAUCAGCCAUCUCCAGUUAUGAGUAACCCAUGCGGGGUCCUGGCCAAGGGAUAGGCUUGAAAUGAAAGAAAUGAGUGAGGCGGGACCUCAUGUGUGGAGUGUGGUCCAACCCACAUGCUAGGAGUCAUUACACAGUGGAGCUGUGGACAGAGCAGCUGCUAUACCCCUCCCAAGUGUCCCAUCCUCAGAUUCUGCCUGCCAUGAGCAACUUAUCUGAAGAACAGAAAUAGCUCUGAGGACUGCCAGGUUUGGAGGUGUUUAACACCCACAUGAACACAAACACAGCUGAUUUGUUUCUUAACUGCUUGUCUGUGGGUGCUUCUAGGCUUCGUCUGCGUGGGGUAGCAGUUGUGAGUUUACCUCUGUUUGACUGUGUGCCCUGGUGUCCCAGCUUCAAAAAUCUCUUUGGUUUUCCACUCUCUUUCAUGUCUCAUCUCUUGAAUUUACACUCUUGCAUGAGGGUGCAAACUCCAGAAAGCUGAAGAGUUGGGAAUGCAAUUAUUUUGCAAAGUAUUUCAAUAAAUUACCUGCUUGUUUCUGUAAUAGACAGCAGUUACUUUUCAACUGGA